AGAGUUUGAUCAUGGCUCAGGAUGAACGCCGGCGGUGUGCCUAAUACAUGCAAGUCGAACGCGUUGGCCCAAUUGAUUGAUGGUGCUUGCACCUGAUUGAUUUUGGUCGCCAACGAGUGGCGGACGGGUGAGUAACACGUAGGUAACCUGCCCAGAAGCGGGGGACAACAUUUGGAAACAGAUGCUAAUACCGCAUAACAGCGUUGUUCGCAUGAACAACGCUUAAAAGAUGGCUUCUCGCUAUCACUUCUGGAUGGACCUGCGGUGCAUUAGCUUGUUGGUGGGGUAACGGCCUACCAAGGCGAUGAUGCAUAGCCGAGUUGAGAGACUGAUCGGCCACAAUGGGACUGAGACACGGCCCAUACUCCUACGGGAGGCAGCAGUAGGGAAUCUUCCACAAUGGGCGCAAGCCUGAUGGAGCAACACCGCGUGAGUGAAGAAGGGUUUCGGCUCGUAAAGCUCUGUUGUUAAAGAAGAACACGUAUGAGAGUAACUGUUCAUACGUUGACGGUAUUUAACCAGAAAGUCACGGCUAACUACGUGCCAGCAGCCGCGGUAAUACGUAGGUGGCAAGCGUUAUCCGGAUUUAUUGGGCGUAAAGAGAGUGCAGGCGGUUUUCUAAGUCUGAUGUGAAAGCCUUCGGCUUAACCGGAGAAGUGCAUCGGAAACUGGAUAACUUGAGUGCAGAAGAGGGUAGUGGAACUCCAUGUGUAGCGGUGGAAUGCGUAGAUAUAUGGAAGAACACCAGUGGCGAAGGCGGCUACCUGGUCUGCAACUGACGCUGAGACUCGAAAGCAUGGGUAGCGAACAGGAUUAGAUACCCUGGUAGUCCAUGCCGUAAACGAUGAGUGCUAGGUGUUGGAGGGUUUCCGCCCUUCAGUGCCGGAGCUAACGCAUUAAGCACUCCGCCUGGGGAGUACGACCGCAAGGUUGAAACUCAAAGGAAUUGACGGGGGCCCGCACAAGCGGUGGAGCAUGUGGUUUAAUUCGAAGCUACGCGAAGAACCUUACCAGGUCUUGACAUCUUGCGCCAACCCUAGAGAUAGGGCGUUUCCUUCGGGAACGCAAUGACAGGUGGUGCAUGGUCGUCGUCAGCUCGUGUCGUGAGAUGUUGGGUUAAGUCCCGCAACGAGCGCAACCCUUGUUACUAGUUGCCAGCAUUAAGUUGGGCACUCUAGUGAGACUGCCGGUGACAAACCGGAGGAAGGUGGGGACGACGUCAGAUCAUCAUGCCCCUUAUGACCUGGGCUACACACGUGCUACAAUGGACGGUACAACGAGUCGCGAACUCGCGAGGGCAAGCAAAUCUCUUAAAACCGUUCUCAGUUCGGACUGCAGGCUGCAACUCGCCUGCACGAAGUCGGAAUCGCUAGUAAUCGCGGAUCAGCAUGCCGCGGUGAAUACGUUCCCGGGCCUUGUACACACCGCCCGUCACACCAUGAGAGUUUGUAACACCCAAAGUCGGUGGGGUAACCUUUUAGGAGCCAGCCGCCUAAGGUGGGACAGAUGAUUAGGGUGAAGUCGUAACAAGGUAGCCGUAGGAGAACCUGCGGUUGGAUCACCUCCUU
rnacentral:rRNA from 1 species